rnacentral:rRNA from 1 species
AGUGGCGGACGGGUGAGUAACGCGUGGGUAACCUGCCUCAUACAGGGGAAUAACAGUUAGAAAUGACUGCUAAUACCGCAUAAGACCACAGCACCGCAUGGUGCAGGGGUAAAAACUCCGGUGGUAUGAGAUGGACCCGCGUCUGAUUAGGUAGUUGGUGGGGUAACGGCCUACCAAGCCGACGAUCAGUAGCCGACCUGAGAGGGUGACCGGCCACAUUGGGACUGAGACACGGCCCAA